rnacentral:rRNA from 1 species
GCCAGACUCCUACGGGAGGCAGCAGUGGGGGAUAUUGCACAAUGGGGGAAACCCUGAUGCAGCGACGCCGCGUGGGCGAAGAAGUAUUUCGGUAUGUAAAGCCCUAUCAGCAGGGAAGAAGAAAUGACGGUACCUGAGUAAGAAGCACCGGCUAAAUACGUGCCAGCAGCCGCGGUAAUACGUAUGGUGCAAGCGUUAUCCGGAUUUACUGGGUGUAAAGGGGGCGCAGACGGCGAUGCAAGCCAGGAGUGAAAGCCCGGGGCCCAACCCCGGGACUGCUCUUGGAACUGCGUGGCUGGAGUGCAGGAGGGGCAGGCGGAAUUCCUGGUGUAGCGGUGAAAUGCGUAGAUAUCAGGAGGAACACCGGUGGCGAAGGCGGCCUGCUGGACUGCAACUGACGUUGAGGCCCGAAAGCGUGGGGAGCAAACAGGAUUAGAUACCCGAGUA